UGGGGAGCAUAGGACAGUGGGGACAGUGUCUGGGGAGGCAGUACGCUGGAGGGCUGGAGGAUGGAGAUGUCCGGCUGCCCAAGAUGCCGGAACCUGUUUUGCAGAAGCAAGAACUUCAAAAGGCAGUGAGCUGUGCUCUGAAGGAGGGCAAGUGCUAUGUCCAUGGUUGGUGACACAGCAGUGACAGAGCCAGAAGGGGGCUCCUGAUCAUUCAUGGACCAGAGGAGCAAGAAACAAAGCUUUGGCAACCCACCCCAGGGCCUCUUGUUACAGAAAAGCCUGACAAUCAGAGUCGUGUUUGAGUCCAUCUGGCUCCAAGCCUGGGCUGUAUCAACCAGGGACACUGACUUAAAUGUCCCAGGUGUGGAGCCUGGGUCUGGUCCCAACCUUGCACCUAACUCCAGGUGACCUUGACCGAUCCCUUCUCUGGGCCUCUGUUUCUCUGUCUGUAGAGGAGGCAGAGUAAAGAAGACCUUAAGGGCCCUUGGAGCUUGAACGGCCCCCUGAUUCUGUGUCAAUUUGGGGUUAGAAACCCCCUGACAUCCCAGAAUUCCUUUCAUGGCUACCGUCAGUGAAGAAGCACAAAUUCAGCUCCGUGUUUAUUGACUCGGCUUAUAACUUCGGCUCCCUUUCAGGGAAUGAGCUCAAGGAAGCUGUAUGCCAGCAGCCAUUCACGGAGCCUAAGUCAUUAGGGAGAAAAUUAGAGUUCGGGGAUGAAGGUGCUGUUUUGCCUCCUACUUCUGCCCCCUCCUCCUCGUUCCACUCACCAAGCAGCAGGGACCCCCUCUGGCAGAUGCUGGAGUGGGGGACGGCAGUCAUGAGUUUGCAACUUACAGGUAAGACAGUCACCUAUUUCCAGAGGACACUGGAUUCUGAUAGCUGGAAGGAAAAUGAGACUUCUUUACAACCACAGUCAUCAACAAAAGGGUCUGAGCUGUCCCAGAAGAUCAGUGUCUGAAGAGAAACCGGGGGCUUCCCAGGGUCCAGAUGCAGCUCCCGUGAUGAGUCCCAGUUGGUCCAGGAGAAGUCGUCUUUCGGGGGCUCUUUCAGGGAAUCCGAGUCCUCAGAGAAUUGAGAUCUGCCAUACCAGGGCCCGUGGCGUCUUUGCCCGCUGAAGCCAAGGAUUUCCUGUGAAGCUCUUCCAGAUCACACGGCCGGUGGCAAUGACCAACAGCAGUAGCC